rnacentral:rRNA from 1 species
GACGAACGCUGGCGGCGUGCUUAACACAUGCAAGUCGAACGGAAAGGCCCUGCUUUUGUGGGGUGCUCGAGUGGCGAACGGGUGAGUAACACGUGAGUAACCUGCCCUUGACUUUGGGAUAACUUCAGGAAACUGGGGCUAAUACCGGAUAGGAGCUCCUGCUGCAUGGUGGGGGUUGGAAAGUUUCGGCGGUUGGGGAUGGACUCGCGGCUUAUCAGCUUGUUGGGGGGGUAGUGGCUUACCAAGGCUUUGCCGGGUAGCCGGCCUGAGAGGGUGACCGGCCACAUUGGGACUGAGGUACGGCCCAGACUCCUACGGGAGGCAGCAGUGGGGAAUAUUGCACAAUGGGCGGAAGCCUGAUGCAGCAACGCCGCGUGCGGGAUGACGGCCUUCGGGUUGUAAACCGCUUUCGACUGUGACGAAGCGUGAGUGACGGUAAUGGGUAAAGAAGCACCGGCUAACUACGUG